rnacentral:sRNA from 11 species
AGACCUUGUAAAAAUAAUGGGUCCACAAGUAAUUGCCGACAAAACCAAAUAUUCCAAUCCAGAUAUUAGCUUUCACCCAAUAA